rnacentral:miRNA from 1 species
CCAAGAUGAGUGAUGGCUC